rnacentral:ncRNA from 1 species
AUCUUCAGGGCAAGGUGAAAUUCCUUACCGGCGGUUAUAGCCCGCGAGCCUUAUGGCAGAUUCGGUGAAACUCCGAAGCCGACAGUAAAGUCUGGAUGGAAGAAGAUU